UGUAUUUGAAGUGGAAUAUUUGGCAGAAACAGCUGAAAGCCUUGACACAUUUCAAAAGCUGGAGUUUUGUGUUCUUCCUGCAUGAAGGUGGAGUUGGGUGCCUUUUACUGUAGGUAGCGUACUGUCAAAUUUCAGGCCCCCUACAUCCGAU